GACGAACGCUGGCGGCGUGCUUAACACAUGCAAGUCGAACGGAAAGGCCCUGCUUUUGUGGGGUGCUCGAGUGGCGAACGGGUGAGUAACACGUGAGUAACCUGCCCUUGACUUUGGGAUAACUUCAGGAAACUGGGGCUAAUACCGGAUAGGAGCUCCUGCUGCAUGGUGGGGGUUGGAAAGUUUCGGCGGUUGGGGAUGGACUCGCGGCUUAUCAGCUUGUUGGUGGGGUAGUGGCUUACCAAGGCUUUGACGGGUAGCCGGCCUGAGAGGGUGACCGGCCACAUUGGGACUGAGAUACGGCCCAGACUCCUACGGGAGGCAGCAGUGGGGAAUAUUGCACAAUGGGCGGAAGCCUGAUGCAGCAACGCCGCGUGCGGGAUGACGGCCUUCGGGUUGUAAACCGCUUUCGCCUGUGACGAAGCGUGAGUGACGGUAAUGGGUAAAGAAGCACCGGCUAACUACGUGCCAGCAGCCGCGGUGAUACGUAGGGUGCGAGCGUUGUCCGGAUUUAUUGGGCGUAAAGGGCUCGUAGGUGGUUGAUCGCGUCGGAAGUGUAAUCUUGGGGCUUAACCCUGAGCGUGCUUUCGAUACGGGCUGACUUGAGGAAGGUAGGGGAGAAUGGAAUUCCUGGUGGAGCGGUGGAAUGCGCAGAUAUCAGGAGGAACACCAGUGGCGAAGGCGGUUCUCUGGGCCUUUCCUGACGCUGAGGAGCGAAAGCGUGGGGAGCGAACAGGCUUAGAUACCCUGGUAGUCCACGCUGUAAACGGUGGGUACUAGGUGUGGGGUCCAUUCCACGGGUUCCGUGCCGUAGCUAACGCUUUAAGUACCCCGCCUGGGGAGUACGGCCGCAAGGCUAAAACUCAAAGGAAUUGACGGGGCCCCGCACAAGCGGCGGAGCAUGCGGAUUAAUUCGAUGCAACGCGUAGAACCUUACCUGGGUUUGACAUGGAUCGGGAGUGCUCAGAGAUGGGUGUGCCUCUUUUGGGGUCGGUUCACAGGUGGUGCAUGCCUGUCGUCAGCUCGUGUCGUGAGAUGUUGGGUUAAGUCCCGCAACGAGCGCAACCCUUGUUCACUGUUGCCAGCACGUUAUGGUGGGGACUCAGUGGAGACCGCCGGGGUCAACUCGGAGGAAGGUGGGGAUGACGUCAAGUCCUCAUGCCCCUUAUGUCCAGGGCUUCACGCAUGCUACAAUGGCUGGUACAGAGAGUGGCGAGCCUGUGAGGGGUGAGCGAAUCUCGGAAAGCCGGCCUCAGUUCGGAUUGGGGUCUGCAACUCGACCUCAUGAAGUCGGAGUCGCUAGUAAUCGCAGAUCAGCAACGCUGCGGUGAAUACGUUCCCGGG
rnacentral:rRNA from 1 species